rnacentral:rRNA from 1 species
AUUGAACGCUGGCGGCAUGCCUUACACAUGCAAGUCGAACGGUAACAGGUCUUCGGAUGCUGACGAGUGGCGAACGGGUGAGUAAUACAUCGGAACGUGCCUAGUAGUGGGGGAUAACUACUCGAAAGAGUGGCUAAUACCGCAUGAGAUCUACGGAUGAAAGCAGGGGAUCGCAAGACCUUGUGCUACUAGAGCGGCCGAUGGCAGAUUAGGUAGUUGGUGGGAUAAAAGCUACCAAGCCGACGAUCUGUAGCUGGUCUGAGAGGACGAUCAGCCACACUGGGACUGAGAAACGGCCCAGACUCCUACGGGAGGCAGCAGUGGGGAAUUUUGGACAAUGGGCGCAAGCCUGAUCCAGCAAUGCCGCGUGCAGGAUGAAGGCCUUCGGGUUGUAAACUGCUUUUGUACGGAACGAAAAGCCCCGGGUUAAUACCCUGGGGUCAUGACGGUACCGUAAGAAUAAGCACCGGCUAACUACAUGCCAGCCGCCGCCGUAA